rnacentral:rRNA from 1 species
UACGUAGGCAGCAAGCGUUGUUCGGAAUUACUGGGCGUAAAGAGCUCGUAGGCGGUCUGUCGCGUCUGCUGUGAAAACUCAGGGCUUAACCCUGAGCUUGCAGUGGGUACGGGGCAGACUAGAGUGCGGUAGGGGGAGACUGGAAUUCCUGGUGUAGCGGUGAAAUGCGCAGAUAUCAGGAGGAACACCGGUGGCGAAGGCGGGGUCUCUGGGCCGUAACUGACGCUGGAGGAAGCGAAAGCAUGGGGGAGCGAACAGG